rnacentral:rRNA from 1 species
UACGUAGGUGGCAAGCGUUAUCCGGAAUUAUUGGGCGUAAAGCGCGCGCAGGUGGUUUCUUAAGUCUGAUGUGAAAGCCCACGGCUCAACCGUGGAGGGUCAUUGGAAACUGGGGGACUUGAGUGCAGGAGAGAAGAGUGGAAUUCCACGUGUAGCGGUGAAAUGCGCAGAUAUCGGGAAGAACACCCGUGGCGAAGGCGGCACUCUGGGACGGUACUGACGCUGAGACGCGAAAGCGUGGGGAGCGAACAGG